CAAUAGCGUAUAUUAAAGUUGUUGCAGUUAAAAAGCUCGUAGUUGGAUUUCUGGUGGGAGCGGCCGGUCCGCCGUAAGGUGUGUACUUGGUUGUCUCCUGUCAUCCUUGUGGGAACUGCUCUGGCAUUAAGUUGUCGGGGUUAGGGAACACAUCGUUUACUGUGAAAAAAUUAGAGUGUUUAAAGCAGGCUUAUGCCGUUGAAUACAUUAGCAUGGAAUAAUAAGAUAGGACUUUGGCGUCUAUUUUGUUGGUUUGCACACCAAGGUAAUGAUUAAUAGGGAUAGUUGGGGGUAUUCGUAUUUAAUUGUCAGAGGUGAAAUUCUUGGAUUUAUGAAAGACGAACUUCUGCGAAAGCAUUUACCAAAGAUGUUUNCAUUA
rnacentral:rRNA from 1 species